UACGUAGGGUCCGAGCGUUGUCCGGAAUUAUUGGGCGUAAAGGGCUCGUAGGCGGUUCGUCACGUCGGGAGUGAAAACUCGGAGCUUAACUCCGAGCCUGCUUCCGAUACGGGCAGACUAGAGGUAGGCAGGGGAGAGCGGAACUCCUGGUGUAGCGGUGGAAUGCGCAGAUAUCAGGAAGAACACCAAUGGCGAAGGCAGCUCUCUGGGACGGUACUGACGCUGAGGCACGAAAGCGUGGGGAGCGAACAGG
rnacentral:rRNA from 1 species